AUGCAACGACCAGUCUCUGACAUGUUACUGCUGCUACUGCUGCUGUGCUGUAGAGCGUAAGCUUAUAGGCAUUGAGCCAAUUGUCUUUGGGUAAUCCACAAAAGCGGACUGUGGUUCCAAUACUUCCACUUUGUACCAGAAGGGUGAGCGUGCAAUACAAGCUGUCUGCUGCUGCUGCUGCUGCUGUUUGCGAUGUCACGCGGUCGCCUCGGAGACCGUGGAUCGCCUGAGUCGCACCACACUGGCAUCAGAUCCUCAUAUUCAUAUGAAAAGGCCUGAGUAGGUGUCGUUCAAGGCAGCGGCACCUCGAUUGCCUGCAGCGAAGCGUCACCGAAGGGUGUCCUUUCCAAAUGCUCCAGACUGGAAUACAUCGCCAUAUGUUCGAUUCUCGAGUACCAAACUCCUGCGGUUGUUGUUUUGCGUGACGCUGUCCUGCUGGGGCAGGCGCUGCACCCGCCUGCCUUUUCGUGUCGAGUUUUUCGGCCAUGGGAAUAUCGCCCGGGCGAUCUAGAGACAACGCGCGCUUCGGCUCGCCGCAGUUGCUGACGAACGGCUUCUGCACUUGACCAUGAUCACCGAAAAACAGCGCCUAGAAGGCACUCGGCCACAGUUUCGGGGGUUGCGGUGAACGAGCCUCCUACAUCCGAGUCAGAUGAAAACUGAAAACUGAACUGCUCGCUCUGUUCAUGCGGUUCGAUUGCGCUCGAAAUUUUUUUUGAUGUGCAGCCUGAAUGCGUAAGGUUCAACAACAAGGGCUUAUGGAUGCAUAUGCAGUUUUGGGAUUCUCGUUCGAGUUUCUGGAGUGACUCUUACGACGCAAUCGAAUACAUGCAUGAAAAAUAGCCGAAAUCAUGUCCCAACUCAUACAUACAAGUCUCUACGCUUCUCGAUUCUAUACCUGUUUUAUGCAGCUAUCGUGCACUGUCCAAGUGUUCGAUUGUCGUGUUUCACGGCAACUCGUGGGCGCAGGAAUUCGCGCCGCUGAUUUGACGAGGAAUAGGGCUCGACGUCGUCUCCCGACAACUUGUUCACAAGCCCAUGUUGAAGCUUCACUGCAUUUUUUAUGUUAGACAAUCUAUUCCGUUCGAAAGGCAAAUCCUCCUCACAACGUCAUUGGAAGGCAAGCGGCAUUCUGCGCCAGUUCAACGCCUCCCAAAGCAUAAACUCCAUGCACUCCC